AGUAACGCGUAGGUAACCUGCCUUGUAGCGGGGGAGUAACUAUUGGAAACGAUAGCUAAUACCGCGUAACAAUGGGUGACUCAUGUCAUUUAUUUAAAAGGGGGCAAAAUGCUCCACUACAAGAUGGACCUGCGUUGUAUUAGCUAGUAGGUGAGGUAACGGCUCACCUAGGCGACGAUACAUAGCCGACCUGAGAGGGUGAUCGGCCACACUGGGACUGAGACACGGCCCAG
rnacentral:rRNA from 1 species